rnacentral:rRNA from 1 species
AACGCUGGCGGCAUGCCUAACACAUGCAAGUCGAACGAAGCACUUGAGUAGCUUGCUAUGAGAGUGACUUAGUGGCGAACGGGUGAGUAAUGCAUGAGCAACCUGCCCUUCAGUGGGGGACAACAGUUGGAAACGACUGCUAAUACCGCAUAACACUUCCGAAAGGCAUCUUUUGGAAGUCAAAGAUUUAUUGCUGAAGGAUGGGCUCAUGUCUGAUUAGCUAGUUGGUGAGGUAACGGCCCACCAUGGCGACGAUGUCUAGGGGUUCUGAGAGGAAGGUCCCCCACACUGGAACUGAGACACGGUCCAGACUCCUACGGGAGGCAGCAGUGAGGAAUAUUGGUCAAUGGUCUGACGACUGAACCAGCCAUGCCGCGUGAAGGUCACGGCCCUAUGGGUCUUAAACUUCUUUUGUAAGGGAGCAAUAAGUUCUACGUGUAGGACGAUGAGAGUACCUUACGAAUAAGCAUCGGCUAACUCCGUG